CCUGGGAGCAGAAGUUGUCUGACUUUGCAUUUUGAGAAUUGCCUGGGCUUAGCCAAGAGUCCUGAUCUGGGUCUGAUUUUGUUCUCAGAGGUCUCCUAAUGACCAUGGCCUGGAGGGCUCCUUUUCAAGAAUAAGUCAUGAAGGAACAGCUUCAAAUUCCCAGUCUCAGAGAAGCAGGGUCAAAGGUAUCACAGAAAAGGGCAGUGAAAGCCAUUUAGUAAUUGGCUCAUUACUGUCAUCUUCCAUUCAGAUCAACUCUCUGCCUUGGGACCCGUCCUUUCAGGCAUGAAUUGGAUUUUGGAAAGGAUUACCCAGAACUGAAGUGGUUUGCAAACCAUCACUGUGGGGGGAUCCUGCCAGUCACAUGACAUCUUGGAGAUGUUCACCUGUCAACUGGCUCAGUUGAUAUUUGCUCUGGUGUCUUCCAAUUUGACUUACUUGUCCUGAGCUUUUUUUGUUUUAAUGUGCUUUGGGUUCUGCCUUGUUUCUAUCUUUUUAGAAAAUAGGUUACAAAAUUCACAUCAUCUUUUUUUCCACUCUGCACCAUCUUUCGCACUUUUUGGACACUGGAGCAGUGGGGAAUGUAGUAGACAUUCAAUAAAUAAUUGUUCAAUGAUGAAGAUAUUGAUGAUACUCAAUAAAAUUUCAAAUGCUUUAUAUUAA